GCCCUAGCACAGGUGCUGCAUGGCCGUCGUCAGCUCGUGCCGUGAGGUGUUGGGUUAAGUCCCGCAACGAGCGCAACCCCCGCCGUUAGUUGCCAGCGGUUCGGCCGGGCACUCUAACGGGACUGCCCGCGAAAGCGGGAGGAAGGAGGGGACGACGUCUGGUCAGCAUGGCCCUUACGGCCUGGGCGACACACGUGCUACAAUGCCCACUACAAAGCGAUGCCACCCGGCAACGGGGAGCUAAUCGCAAAAAGGUGGGCCCAGUUCGGAUUGGGGUCUGCAACCCGACCCCAUGAAGCCGGAAUCGCUAGUAAUCGCGGAUCAGCCAUGCCGCGGUGAAUACGUUCCCGGGCCUU
rnacentral:rRNA from 1 species